rnacentral:tRNA from 1 species
AGCUUGAAAGCUGGUAGAGCAUGAGACUCUUAAUCUCAGGGUUGUGGGUUCAAGCCCCAU